GCUUGUGGCCAUACCACCCUGAACAUGUCUGAUCUUGGUAACUAAGCAGGGUCGGGCCUGGUGAGUACUUGGAUGGGAGACAGCCUUGGAAUACCAGGUGCUGUAAGCU
rnacentral:rRNA from 1 species